CAACGGCAUUGUUAGAGGAAUAAACUGUGUUUUGGGGAAGUUUAUGAACAUUGUUCAAAAUAUAAUCAAUUUCCUCAUCUGCAAGGAACUCUGAACAUCUCUCUUUCGAAAGAAAUUCUUUGUAGGCUUCUAAACCUCCUUCAAUUAGAGCAUCAAUAGCUACUCGGUACCAUUCCUUGUAAUGAGGCUCAAUAUAGUUGUCUGAUCUGCAUUCAUCAUGUAGGGAUGAUAACAAAGAUGAGGUUUCCAUUUUCACAUAUAUUUUGCACAAAGUCUCUUAAACUUCCAUUUGUGAGUUGGUGAAGUAUACCUUAAGAAAGAAGUUUAACUGUUACUUCCAG
rnacentral:lncRNA from 1 species